GAUGAACGCUGGCGGUAUGCUUAACACAUGCAAGUCGAACGGUACCUUCGGGUAUAGUGGCGGACGGGUGAGUAACGCGUGAGAAUCUGUCUUCAGGUCGGGGACAACAGUUAGAAAUGACUGCUAAUACCGGAUAAUGCCUAUGGGUGAAAGAUUUAUUGCCUGAAAAAGAGCUCGCGUCAGAUUAGCUAGUAGGUGGUGUAAGAGACUACCUAGGCGACGAUCUGUAGCUUGGUCUGAGAGGACGAUCAGCCACACUGGAACUGAGACACGGUCCAGACUCCUACGGGAGGCAGCAGUGGGGGUAAUUUUCCGCAAUGGGCGAAAGCCUGACGGAGCAAUACCGCGUGAGGGACGAAGGCUUUUUGGGUCGUAAACCUCUUUUUCUCAAGGAAGAUAAUGACGGUACUUGAGGAAUAAGCAUCGGCUAACUCUGUGCCAGCAGCCGCGGUAAU
rnacentral:rRNA from 1 species